GUCCCUGUAGCGCAAUGGAUAGCGCACUGGACUUCUAAUCCGCGUCGUGGGUUCGAAUCCCACCUGGGAUG